rnacentral:rRNA from 1 species
AACGCUAGCUACAGGCUUAACACAUGCAAGUCGAGGGGCAGCAUGAUUGAAGCUUGCUUCAAUUGAUGGCGACCGGCGCACGGGUGAGUAACACGUAUCCAACCUGCCGAUGACUCGGGGAUAGCCUUUCGAAAGAAAGAUUAAUACCCGAUGGCAUAGUUCUUCCGCAUGGUGGAACUAUUAAAGAAUUUCGGUCAUCGAUGGGGAUGCGUUCCAUUAGGUUGUUGGCGGGGUAACGGCCCACCAAGCCUUCGAUGGAUAGGGGUUCUGAGAGGAAGGUCCCCCACAUUGGAACUGAGACACGGUCCAAACUCCUACGGGAGGCAGCAGUGAGGAAUAUUGGUCAAUGGACGAGAGUCUGAACCAGCCAAGUAGCGUGAAGGAUGACUGCCCUAUGGGUUGUAAACUUCUUUUAUACGGGAAUAAAGUGAGGCACGUGUGCCUUUUUGUAUGUACCGUAUGAAUAAGGAUCGGCUAACUCCGCGCCAGCAGCCGCGGUAAUACGGAGGAUCCGAGCGUUAUCCGGAUUUAUUGGGUUUAAAGGGAGCGUAGGCGGACGCUUAAGUCAGUUGUGAAAGUUUGCGGCUCAACCGUAAAAUUGCAGUUGAUACUGGGUGUCUUGAGUACAGUAGAGGCAGGCGGAAUUCGUGGUGUAGCAGUGAAAUGCUUAGAUAUCACGAAGAACUCCGAUUG